AGCGAACGCCGGCGGCAGGCUUAACACAUGCCAGUCGAGCGGGCACUUUCGGGUGUCAGCGGCGGACGGGUGAGUAACGCGUGGGAACGUGCCCUCUGGUUCGGAAUAACUCAGGGAAACUUGAGCUAAUACCGGAUACGCCCUUUUGGGGAAAGGCUUGCUGCCGGAGGAUCGGCCCGCGUCUGAUUAGCUAGUUGGUGAGGUAACGGCUCACCAAGGCGACGAUCAGUAGCUGGUCUGAGAGGAUGAUCAGCCACACUGGGACUGAGACACGGCCCAGACUCCUACGGGAGGCAGCAGUGGGGAAUAUUGGACAAUGGGCGCAAGCCUGAUCCAGCCAUGCCGCGUGAGUGAUGAAGGCCUUAGGGUUGUAAAGCUCUUUUAUCCGGGACGAUAAUGACGGUACCGGAGGAAUAAGCCCCGGCUAACUUCGUG
rnacentral:rRNA from 1 species